rnacentral:rRNA from 1 species
UACAGAGGGUGCAAGCGUUAAUCGGAAUUACUGGGCGUAAAGCGUGCGUAGACGGUUGCGUAAGUCAGAUGUGAAAGCCCCGGGCUCCAACCUGGGAAUUGCAUUUGAGACUGCGUAGCUAGGGUGCGGAAGAGGGAAGCGGAAUUCCGGUGUAGCGGUGAAAUGCGUAGAUAUCGGAAGGAACACCAGUGGCGAAAGCGGCUCCUGGUCCAGCACCGACGUUCAGGCACGAAAGCGUGGGGAGCAAACAGG